GGAAGAAAAGAAGGCUUUCAAGAAACUAUUGAAAGAAGAUGGCUACUAUACGAUCAGAGUGUCAUCUAAUGUGUUAGAUCCUCCGGGAAGAGAUUUUGUUGUUUCAUCAGUCAGAGUUAUCAUGUCAAACUCUGAUGAUGAAUCUGAUGACUAUGAUGAAUUAGGCUCAGAUAUCAAUUUGCUUCUUAUUUUGAGCCAUGCAAAUGAUUUUUUUCAUGAAAUGACUCAGUUUCAUAGAUCUAUUGAUCGGAUGCCUUGUCGAACGUCAUCUCUUACUGGGAGGAUGUAUAUUCAAGAAAUACUUGAUGGGCACCCUCAAGUUUGCUUUGAUAAUUU